GUAAUACUCCCUCCAUCCGGAAAUACUUGUCGUGAAAAUGGAUAUAAAUAUAUGUAUCUAGAACUAAAAUACAUCUAGAUACAUUCAUUCCUCGGACAAGUAUUUCUGUACGGAGGGAGUAGUAA
rfam:Triticum aestivum genome assembly, contig: Triticum_aestivum_CS42_TGACv1_scaffold_501005_6BL